UUUCCUUCCACCAGGCGGCGAUACCCUGUUUGAUGCUGGAUAUGUUGAAGGCGCCGUCCGCGGCCAGGGAGACAGUGGGAUCAGGGUUAAGGCUGAGAUCCUUGACAGCCUUGUAUAGCUUCUCAAAUAAAUAUUUUCCAGCUGUCUGGGUAACUUUUACAAACUUGAGAAAGCUCUUUUGAUGCCUUCACUCGUCAUAUAUCCCAGUGACAGACUGAACUUCUCCGUGUUUGACAUAUCUGAUGUCUCAUCAACAAUCCUAGAGAACCAUUAGUCAUCAUUGCCAGCACACACCUUGACAUCUUCAAUUAUAUUCUCCGUCACUUUGGAUGUUAUAAUCUCUAUCAGCUUAUUUUGGAUGUCAGCUGAAAUCCACUUGGCAAAACCUUCCCCAGCUGAACCAAAUUUUUGACCUUGGCAUCCAGAUUAUCUUUGAGAAUCAAAUUGUCGUGUGAACGCAGGGACAAAAGCUCAAUGAAGUUUCCUCAAUUGUUUUAAUUAGGUUCCGUCAACUUUUCUCUUUUUUCAGAAUCACCGCGAAAAGCCAAUCCCUACCUUGCGAGGAGCCCUACAAUUUGGAAAAUAUGCCUCAAAUAAGCGACUUCCGGAGCAUAUUGAGACUGAACCUGGCCGAGAACUGAGGUAUUCCUUCUCUUUGAUGUGAGAAAAUAUAUCCACUUUUCUAUCGACAGUUUGAGUUUAUUGUUGCUUGAAUGAACUUUCAACGAGGAACUGUUUUUCCAUGUUUCCAACUCAAGUUCCCAUGAUUGGAAAUAGAAAAUUUGGAACGGGCGAAACACUUGACGGACUUUUCAACCUCGUCAAAUUCUAGGCAUGGGAACUUACGGAACCAGUCAUAUUGAAAGUUUCUGGAGUAUUUAUCAUCUAUCUGAUGACUUUUCCCGCUCAUUUUCCACUCUAGUUCUGUUCUGGAUGUACUUCCGCUGUGGCCCGCUUGGUAAGUAUCGGGUGAACCAGCUGGCUCGUCAAGACGUCGGGGUACUCCUGGCCGCCGUCUGCAAACUCCAUCUCCUUAGUUUUGCUCUUCUCACCUCCCUGGUCAUUUCGCUAGUUUCAGAGUCCUCUGCAGAGGAAAUAUUGUUGUUGAUAACUAAAGAGAGCUGCUUGGGAGAGAAAUUGGGCCCAAUAUCGAGAAUAAGAAGGCUUAUUACAGCAGAAAUACGCCAAUUAGGAAACGGACUGUUCAGAUUUUGGUUCAGGCAGUGAAGCUUCAACUGGAGCAGGGUCAUCUGGACAGGAGGAAGCAGUGACUGAGGAUGAAAACAAAGACGCACACAGCAUUUUUCGUAUGGA
rnacentral:lncRNA from 1 species